rnacentral:rRNA from 1 species
ACGAACGCUGGCGGCGUGCUUAACACAUGCAAGUCGAACGGAAAGGCCCUGCUUUUGUGGGGUGCUCGAGUGGCGAACGGGUGAGUAACACGUGAGUUACCUGCCCUUGACUUUGGGAUAACUUCAGGAAACUGGGGCUAAUACCGGAUAGGAGCUCCUGCUGCCUGGUGGGGGUUGGAAAGUUUCGGCGGUUGGGGAUGGACUCGCGGCUUAUCAGCUUGUUGGUGGGGUAGUGGCUUACCAAGGCUUUGACGGGUAGCCGGCCUGAGAGGGUGACCGGCCAAAUUGGGACUGAGGUACGGCCCAGACUCCUACGGGAGGCAGGAGUGGGGAAUAUUGCACAAUGGGCGGAAGCCUGAUGCAGCAACGCCGCGUGCGGGAUGACGGCCUUCGGGUUGUAAACCGCUUUCGCCUGUGACGAAGCGUGAGUGACGGUAAUGGGUUAAGAAGCACCGGCUAACUACGUG